UAAUUAUCCCAAGACCCCUUUUCUAAAAAAAAUUAUGUUUUGUUGGAUAUUUUUUUUUCCUUUUAAUGGCUAAAGUACCGUUUCCUUAUCAAAAUGAAGGUUUCUUUUCUUUUCUGAAGAACGAUAUGUAGUACUAGAAACAAGAAUUAAAGAACGAAUUUCACAAGAUUUCUUCUACACGCCACAAACAAGUGAAAUUUCAAGAAGAAAUUGCUUGAUUCUUCUAUUCUUUCUCUGUGACUUUCUGCGUUUCGAUCAAGAAAUUGGUUUAUCCGAGUUUGUUCUGAUGGAAUCAACUUCUUAUUACUAUAAAAAAAAAACCAUGUGGAUAAAGAUUUGGAAACAACAAUAAAAAAAAGGUUUCUCAAUCUGUGGUUAAAUUAACCAUAAGAGCUACUAGAAGAUUUGAUAUACUUGAAGUUAUUCCAACCGACGGUACCAGAUUCGUGGUUGAUGAAAAACGUGGGAUUAUCCUCACGGAUCGUCAUGUUGCACAAACUGGUAUCUUGAUUUUAUUACCUCAAAUUUGUAUUUGUUGUAUUUGCAGGACCUUGUUUUGUUGAUGCUGAAUUUAGUAAAGGGAAAUUAGUUCUGGUGCUAUGUAUAUAUGUAGAUCCGGUAAAUUAUUCUUUUUCUUUUUUGAUACGGAGUUUAGUAAUGGGAAACUAGUUCUAGUGUUACCUUUCUGUUGCAGUAUUGUUUUGGGGAUAAUCAACCUCUAAUCUCGCACUAGGCAUACCGAGGCUCAGUUGAUGUAAUCAGGCAAAAAUACACUGUUUCCAUGAGUGUUAGCCUCUGUUAAGGUCAACAUAGCUAAUAUGAUUGGUGUCUUUAAUUUCACCAAUUGAUUUUGUUAAUUGUGGCUGGGAGUUUAUUAUGAACAGUUCUGGUACUUUGUAUUUACAGCAAAUGGGAUUUGAGAAACUUGCUAGUACUUUGGUAUUCAAGAACUAAAAUCCGGCGAGAUGGGAUUCAAGCAAGAAAUGCUUGCUCUACAGAAUUGUAUGAAGUAUGAAGGACCGACUUCCUUUCUCAAGGUAUCUUUAUUAGAAAUGGAAGCCAAGAGAGUGUGAUGUACUGAGAUUAAUCAAAAGAAGCAUCUGUGACUGAUGAGAGAUAAGUGUUGGGAAUUUAUUGGUGAUUUGAUUAGCGGUAACCAUGUCCAGUUAUUUCUUUGCAUCCUAUGAAUUGAACUCAGUUGAAAUGAGAUGAAGAUAUAGAAGUUGGAACUGAAUGAAUAAUAUCUUAAUGGUGUUGGUGUUGGUCA